GUUAUCUGAACCUUCGGGGAACGAUAACGGCGUCGAGCGGCGGACGGGUGAGUAAUGCCUAGGAAAUUGCCCUGAUGUGGGGGAUAACCAUUGGAAACGAUGGCUAAUACCGCAUGAUGCCUACGGGCCAAAGAGGGGGACCUUCGGGCCUCUCGCGUCAGGAUAUGCCUAGGUGGGAUUAGCUAGUUGGUGAGGUAAGGGCUCACCAAGGCGACGAUCCCUAGCUGGUCUGAGAGGAUGAUCAGCCACACUGGAACUGAGACACGGUCCAGACUCCUACGGGAGGCAGCAGUGGGGAAUAUUGCACAAUGGGCGCAAGCCUGAUGCAGCCAUGCCGCGUGUGUGAAGAAGGCCUUCGGGUUGUAAAGCACUUUCAGUCGUGAGGAAGGUGGUGUAGUUAAUAGCACUAUCAUUUGACGUUAGCGACAGAAGAAGCACCGGCUAACUCCGUGCCAGCAGCCGCGGUAAUACGGAGGGUGCGAGCGUUAAUCGGAAUUACUGGGCGUAAAGCGCAUGCAGGUGGUUUGUUAAGUCAGAUGUGAAAGCCCGGGGCUCAACCUCGGAAUAGCAUUUGAAACUGGCAGACUAGAGUACUGUAGAGGGGGGUAGAAUUUCAGGUGUAGCGGUGAAAUGCGUAGAGAUCUGAAGGAAUACCGGUGGCGAAGGCGGCCCCCUGGACAGAUACUGACACUCAGAUGCGAAAGCGUGGGGAGCAACAGGAUUAGAUACCCUGGUAGUCCACGCCGUAAACGAUGUCUACUUGGAGGUUGUGGCCUUGAGCCGUGGCUUUCGGAGCUAACGCGUUAAGUAGACCGCCUGGGGAGUACGGUCGCAAGAUUAAAACUCAAAUGAAUUGACGGGGGCCCGCACAAGCGGUGGAGCAUGUGGUUUAAUUCGAUGCAACGCGAAGAACCUUACCUACUCUUGACAUCCAGAGAACUUUCCAGAGAUGGAUUGGUG
rnacentral:rRNA from 1 species